rnacentral:lncRNA from 1 species
CGCAUGUUAAGUGAAGUCUAGAGUAUAAAACUCGAUGUUCCAACUUACAACAGCUCAAGUUUAGUUCACAACACAGACCACAGUAUCAGGAGAAUCAUGAAAUUUCUUGGAAUGCUUAUGGCAGGUGCAGUAGCAUUGUUUGCUCUUGCAGGAAUGGCCGCUGCCCGAGCAAUGCCUGCACCAGAGCCUACACCUAAUCCAAUGGCUGAACCAGGAACAUACGAUGGCUAAUAAAAGACUCUAUUGUACAUACUUUCUCGAAAAUGAAAGAUGUUGACUUCUACAUAGAAA